GAGAUAUAGAUUCUUUUCGGUGUAAUCUAGUGAGAGAGUGUGUGUAAAAACUCUAUAUCCUCUUCUCCGGGAAAGUAGUGGAUUCCAGGAUAUCAAUCCCGGCGUGAGUAGGCUGCCGUCAUUCGAUGGUGGAGGCUGAAUACAUUAAACCUCGGGUCUCUUUAUAUUUCCGCAAUUGUUCUUCUUUUUAUUUCGAUUAGACUCGAAGAGUGUAGACAGAGUGAACGUGAGAAUCAGAUUGAAGAAUCGGCGAUAUAUCUGUAUCGUUUUACAAGAAGCAGGAAUGAGGGAUUUUUAAGAGCUGGUAGAAAAUUGCGAAUUGUUUGAUCUAAGUUUUCACGGCCCAAGAUAUACAUGGUGUAAAAAGAGAAUAGAAGGCGUGAUCAACAAGAAGCUAGAUAAAUUUCAAGUUAACUGGGAAUAGAUAAUCUGGCAGAGCCAAUCUUACUGUGUUUUAGAAUCGGGUGGAUAUUUCGACCUAGAUCGAAGUACAAGCUUUUACUCCUUCCGUCUCAGGCUUGUUUGAAUUCAUCUCUUCACCUCAACCAAGUUGAACGACAGUCAAUGCAUUAAUUUCUCAAAUUGAUUUUAAAGUUCACUUCAUUGUCACUCUUAUAUAUGUCUCAUUUACUUUAAUUUCAGUCACAUGUUGUGAGGUUUCGACCAGAAGGAAGCGAUUCAUCAGCUAUUUCGAAGUCGUUUGUCGGGAAGUGGCUGUAGAGGUAAUGUAUCUCAUUCCAAAGUUUGUAUUUCAGAAUCUAGGCAAUCUCGUUGAGAUUACAUAGCUGCUACAUACUAAUUUUUUUAUAUUGGUUUGUAGAGUUAGCUAACUGCAACAUUAGGGAUUGGAAGAUUACUUUCCAGUCUUAAAGGAAAGUGAACUCGCAAAAACCAAUUUGCGGUAAAUUAUACAGGU
rnacentral:lncRNA from 1 species